AGCAGCGUGCAGAGCAGCGGCCGGGUUUUGCUCCCGCCUCGGAGCCCCUGGCCCGGGGGAGGGGGAGAGGCCGCUAGCCUGGUUUAUGUCUUUUUCUGACUCCAGUGCAACCUUCCUGCUGAACGAGAGCCAUCUCCCAGGAGAAGAGCACCUUGAGGGUCUUACUCUUUGACACCUCUCCAGGCCCCUGAAAGAAGGAAUUGAAGAGAAAGGAUGAAAGAGGGGGAUACAAGGAAUACUGCGUAACUGGGGUUCAGCCGACUCCUACACCAGCCGCCCAUCUCUGGACUCAGACGUCUCCCUGGAGGAGGACCGGGAGAGUGCCCGGCGUGAAGUAGAGAGCCAGGCUCAGCAGCAGCUCGAAAGGGCCAAGCACAAACCUGUGGCAUUUGCGGUGAGGACCAAUGUCAGCUACUGUGGCGUACUGGAUGAGGAGUGCCCAGUCCAGGGCUCUGGAGUCAACUUUGAGGCCAAAGAUUUUCUGCACAUUAAAGAGAAGUACAGCAAUGACUGGUGGAUCGGGCGGCUAGUGAAAGAGGGCGGGGACAUCGCCUUCAUCCCCAGCCCCCAGCGCCUGGAGAGCAUCCGGCUCAAACAGGAGCAGAAGGCCAGGAGAUCUGGGAACCCUUCCAGCCUGAGUGACAUUGGCAACCGACGCUCCCCUCCGCCAUCUCUAG
rnacentral:sRNA from 1 species